AUGUCCAUUAUUUUCCUGGAUUUAAUGAUGAUGGAAUGCCAAGUAAGAGGAAGCAGUAGAUAUUUGAUUCUGUUUUGGGAACAAAGCCAAAACUUGAACAAGCAGCAUUCACAAGUUAUACUUUUGCUCGUUGAUACUCUAAGAUAUACCAGAGAGCAUCAUUCAGGUAGGGGACCACGUGCAGGUUUCCACUACUCCACGUAG